rnacentral:lncRNA from 1 species
CGGGCCUCCGGGCAGCCUGGGCGCCUCCGCCGUGGCCGUGCGGGCGGCCUGCCCUCCCCGGCCUCCGGGGCGGGGAGCUCCGAGAUGCGCGCCCGUUUCUAAGGGCGGUGGGGGGCGGUACUCACCUGAGGGCGCCGACAGCGGGGCGCGGGUCCAGGCCUGGGCUCCGGGCGGGCGGCGGACGGCGGGCAGCGGCCGGGCCCGAGGUCGGGGCCGGGGCGAGCACGAGGCGGCGCGGCCCUCCUUUCCUCUCUCGCCCUUUAUUCUUUCUUUUGCUUUUUUGUUUGCUUCCUGCGAGGCGGCUGCAGCCGCGUGCGCGCAGCGCCCCAAGCGGGCGGCGCCGUUUCCGGUGCUCGGUCCGCUCGGCCGCGCCUCGGCCCGCAGCCCGCAGCCCUCAGAGCGCCCGCCCGCCCUCGGGUCCGCGCUCCGACCUCUCCAGCCCCAGCUGCGUGGCCCGCACGUGUCCUCCUGCGACAGCGCCCCGCCCGACAGCGCUCCGCCCGCCUGCCGCUUCCUGCUGCGCCCCUUCUGCCUCGCCCCGUUGCAGUCUGUGCCUUUGCCGUUGUUGGUCACAUCUGCCUGUUCCCCCCCCUCCCCACAGCCGGGUCGGCGGUGUCCCCAUCAGCACUCAGGGCGGCGCUCGAGCAACAGUGCCGCGGGCUUGGUCAGCGUGCGUUGCAGUUCCGUAUUUACUUAAAACAUGCCGAAAAGGGAAUUAAUAGGUUAAUACAAAGCCAUUCACCCAUUCUUGAAAUCCAACAUACUGUGCCUUGUCUAGUAUUUUUCUAUUCUUUAUUUUUGGUACCGCAGAUGGAACUCGGGACCUUGCGCUUUCGAGGCAGGCGGCAGAACCAGUGAGCUAAAUCUCCGGCCCCCCUUGUCUAAUAUUUUUAGGCAACACGGCAGACAUAAGUCUACAGUCCCCCCCACCCCUCUGUUAAGUACGAGAUGAGGUCUGAGGAGACCCUUCUGGAAGGCACCAUCCUCAUCCCCGACUCCCCAAGCACGGCUACUGUUACUGUCUUGCUGUGUAGUUCAGGCUGGUCUUGAACUCCUGGCAAUCCGUGCCCAACUCCACCAUUUUUUUU